GGGGUUGUGGCUCAGCGGUAGAGUGCUUUCCUAGCGAGGCAACAGGUUCAAUCAAUCUUAUGUUGUGUAACUCCUCUCAUGUAAAUCUAAAGAAAAGUAGUUGUGGUUUAAAAAAAAAAUUGAAUCACUUGAUCUUUGAUAUUAAAUCUUACAUUCUAUAGGCAAUUAAUUUGCUUAAUUUUCUUUUUUUUAAAGUAUUUUUUAGUUGUCAAUUGACCUUUAUUUUAUUUAUUUAUAGGCAGUGCUGAGAAUCGAACCCAGUGCCUCA
rnacentral:tRNA from 1 species